GUGGUCGCCCUUUCUUCUGCCAUGAAAGUACCAGACAGAUGGAAAGAAUCCAUAGUGGUCUGCAAGUACAAGGCUUUCCCAAGAAGCGUUAGCAGCCUUGGGACUAGUGACAGUGAGUCCUGAUGUGUUUUUGGGCCUGGGGACGUUUGUUGCCCUGGGAAGCCAGUCCCAGCACGGGAACAGAGGGGGAACAUCGCAGAGCAGAGCCUGAGCGAGAGACGUGGCACCAUCU